rnacentral:lncRNA from 1 species
CUUUCCCAGCAGCUCUCUGGGUCCCGGCAAGGAAAGGAGGGCUUGCUUCAGUGGGUGGUUGAGGAGGAUUGAACAAAGCAGGUUUAUUAUAUUAAAAAAAAAAAGGUGGGAGGGACUAAGGGAUGCCAGCACAGGAAGAAGAAGCAUCCAGGAGCUGUUCCCACCCCAGGCCAGAUGUGGAGGGAGCUGUAGCCGUCACUCUGUGCUCAGCUCGAGCUGCCGUGGUCAGAGCAGGACCACCGGAAAGGAGUGCUGGCUUCCUGGAAAGGAGCACCUCCACGGCUGCCUCGGCCAGGGAGGGAACUGGACACUAGCCUCAUGUUUCUCCAACCUCCAGCUGCCCCUCCCAGCUUCUGCUGUGACUGAAUCCACCUGGAGGCCAGAGGAUAGGGAAGCCCAUGGAUGCCGGCCAUAGAGGCCAGGGCCUUGGGGCACAGAGCCAGCGGAGGAUCUCGUAAGGAGGCCACUUGCAUUCAGAAUCUGUCAAAGGACCAUUUUCAAAGCAGAGCUUAAAGCGGCAUCACUAGCACGUCUCACACAACACAGAAGUCCUGGGGUCGAGGCCUGGGCGCAGUCUCUGCUCUCCGUGAAUUCAGUCAACGAGGCUUUGCCUGUCCUUGCCGGUGCCCUGGGGAGAUGCAGCGGAACGGGCUGCCUCUCCUCGUUCUGUGGGAGCUCACAACCGUGUUUGGCACACGCAGGUCAGCCAGGGUGAAGGGUGAAGUGUGAGCAGGAGGAGGAACAAGCCGAGGGCUGCAAGAGGAAGAAGAGGGCGGUCACUGAAAGGGCCACGGAGCUGUGCCCCAAGGUCCUGUUGGUUCUGAGUUCAGGCACUGCUGGCAGCCAGGAGGGCUCACAGCCCUGGGGCACAGGGGCGAGGUAGUGAUGCAACUGCCUGGCAGGUGCCUUGGGUGGAGACGAGUGCCCCCAUCUCAGUCAUCAUGACUUCUUUAUUCAUGAGCUCCAAAUAUUAUUUUCCUGGCCAACCACAACUCCUGGUCAGGCUGGGGGUGGUCAACUUUCUUUUGCCUCAUUUAAACGCACAGUGCUGCUCCUCAAGUCAACAACCUCUCUUCAGACUCUGCAGUGAGUUUAAGGGGCAUGUAUGCAUGUGUGUGCGUAAGUGUAUGCAUGUUUAUGCCUGUGCUCACACGUGUGUGCCUGUUUAUGGGUGUGUGCAUGCACAUGUGGGUGUGUGCAUGUGUGUCUAUAUGUGUAUAUACAUGUGGGGGUGUGUGCAUGUAAUGCUUGUAUAUACCUAUGUGUGCACACAUGGCGUGUGUGUGUGCAUGUGUGAAUGGAUGUGUCCUGGACCGAGACAAUGAUCGUGCUUAAGUAGUUGUACCUGAGCACAGAGUGACUAGAAUUGGGAAAUUUCUACGAUCCCAAUUGUAUUCUGACUUAUGAUCCUAACACUAACUCCCAUCCAGGGAAGCUGAGAAGGAAACUCUGAAGUCAGUUGCAUAUCUAACCUCCCCCUACCCUGUGCCCCCACACCACUGCUGCAUUCAAAGCUGCCUCACCAUCUUCCCAGCCCACAUGGCCUUCCUGGUUCUUACCUGUGAACCUGCUGUUUCUCUCUGCUCGAAAAGCCUCCAGAGUCACACAGAAUGCAUCUUUCUUCAUGCAGCGCGAGGUUCUUGAAUAGCCAAAAUGCCCAAGCAUGAUGCAAAGCCCUUUUAAGAGUUAUUUAUCAUUAAACCUCACAUUGAUCUUAAGAAACAGGAAGAUACGGUUGAGGGUACAGGCUCAGAAAGGUUAAGUGAUUUGCCCAAGGCCACAUGAAGGACCUGAAUCAAGGUUUUCUGGCUCCAAAUUCAGAGCGUUCUGUUAUACUCUCCUAGUUUUAUUGAUCAUGGUACUGCGCAAGACUUUUCAGGAGAGUUUGGUCAUCUCCCAUGAUGCCAACUCCAGAAGAUUAGGAGUGGGCCCCUGUGCGAACAGGAGGUUGUUCUGGGGUCCAUGAGAGGCGGCGGUCACACUUCCUAACACGUUCAGCUGACGCUGGUGCAAAUAGGACAAAGGAGGGGCUCUCACCCCAAACAUUCCAGUCAGGGGGACGGAACUUGGUGUAAGUGAGGGGAUAUGGGGGCAGCAGGGAGCCCAACCUUGCCAGGAGAGCUCAGAAGAGGUCUCAUGGUGUGUGUGUGUGUGUGUGUGUGAGAGAGAGAGAGAGAGAAGAAAGUUGAAGAGUGAAAGCCCAUAGUUGCUUAAGGCAGGAGAACUGAUGGGUGAACUUUGCUAUUAUUUGCUACACUCUGGGAAAGUGUUUUAUUCUUAGCCCAUGUCUCUUCCCAGCAUGCACACACUCACACUCAUACGCUCACACACUAACAGAUACACACACUCAGACAUACUCCCACACUAACACUCAGACACAUACUAACACUCAGACACCCACUCACACUCACACACACUCCCACACACUAACACUGAGACACACACACUAACCCUCAGACACACACUCACACACUAAAUGCAGACACACACACACUAACUCUCAGACACACAUACACAGUCACACAUACUCAGACACAUACACAUACACUCAGACACACGCGAACACGCAGACACACACACUCACACUAACACUCAGACACACAUACGCAGUCACAUAUACUCAGACACACAUACUUACACUCAGACACACAAACUCCCACGCACUCACACACACACUAACACUCAGACACACAUACACAGUCACACAUACACUCAGACACACACACACUAACAGUCAUACUCCCACACACUCACACACUUGCUCACUUGUACCCACUUCCCUCCCUGCUCUCGCCUGCCUGGUUGAGGGGUCCACAGCCACGCAAGACCACCCCACGCCACUGCGGGGCGCCAGGCAUCAGCUUUCUGAGCCCUGAGUGGGGUCCGGUCCUCUCCCCUUGGGCUUUUUGGUUUUGGUCUUAGAAAUGUUCGGGGAGCCAUGGGGGUCAUCCUGUGCCCUCCUCCUGGUCUGUUCACCAAGCUCAAGAGGGAAGACAAGUGAUCAGAAAUCCGCAGAUAGUGAGCAACAGCGGGAAAGGACUCACCAGGAAGGAGGCAGCCAAGAAAGAGCAGGUCCUUCUCUGCUGCCCAGGCUGGAGUGCAGUGGUGCAAUCUUGGCUCACUGCAGUUUCAACUUCCCAGCUUCAAGCAAUCCACCCACCUCAGCCUCCCAAGUAGCUGUGACCAGAGGCAUGUGCCACCAUGUUCAGCUAAUUUUUUAAAUUUUUUGUGGAGACAGGGUUUCGUCAUGUUGCUCAGACUGGUUUUGAACUCCUGACCUCAAGCCUUCUGCCCGCCUCAGCCUCCCAAAGUGCUGGGAUUAGAGGUGUGAGCCACCGCACCCAGCUAAAUUGUAAACAUUUUCAGUGUGAAGGAAUU